rnacentral:rRNA from 1 species
UACGUAGGGCGCAAGCGUUGUCCGGAAUUAUUGGGCGUAAAGGGCUCGUAGGCGGUCUGUUGCGUCAGGAGUGAAAACUCGGGGCUUAACCCCGAGCCUGCUUCUGAUACGGGCAGACUAGAGGUAUGCAGGGGAGAACGGAAUUCCUGGUGUAGCGGUGAAAUGCGCAGAUAUCGUAAGGAAGGCCGGUGGCGAAAGCGAGCCUCUGGACAGUUACUGACGCUGAUGCACGAAGGCCAGGGGAGCAAACGGG